GAACAGAGAUAGUUUCAAUUUUAUUUAAAGUUACCAUUUUUUUACAUAUUAUACAGUUGUACAAUACAAUACGCAUAUUACUAAUUUUCUAUUACAUAAUUACACGAUUAUCUGCACUAAGAAUAUUGAUUUAUUUCCAUGUCACUUUUUAUACCACAACGUACAUUACACGCUGCAACAUUUUGCACUAUAAAUUGCACUUCACAAUAAAUACUGCACGUAAAUAAAAUCCAAUCUCGACUAUUUGUGGAAUAUUUCUUCGAUUUUAAUGAUGUUUAAGUUGAAUAUGAUAUUGUUACAUGGGUGAUAAUCGAGCCUCGAGAACCUGUCUCAACGAUUUUUCCGUGCCUUUAGCAAUCCUUUAAAAUUCAUCGAAAUUUACUCCGAGCACUUACACUGUCUGUAGUAGGAAUAAUUAUUAUCAAAUUUUGGACUUUGCAGUAAUAGGUACACGACCACGACAUUUAUCGACGGCAUAUAUUGUAGUACAGUUGGCACCGGACCAUUUUAAUCAAUUCGUUUUUGCCAAACGGUCGGAAAUAAAUUGACA